rnacentral:lncRNA from 1 species
GACGUCAACACAGAACACUGGCACGCGACGACGCUACAACAUCUUCUGUACUAACACGCUCCUCAAACGACCAUGAACCCUAUACGAGUUGACCGAGGUAGCUGCAGUGUCACCACAAGAACAAUUCGGAGCGUCUACAAAAUUUACCUGUUGCUGGAGAACUCGAUCGCAACAAUUCCUUUCCUACUCCAGUUCUACCGCGGUUAGUGGAUCCUUCCCACAGCAUUACAGUGAGUUUCCUAGUGUUAAACUACAAGAAAUUGGUCUCCAAAAAAACUGCUUUCCAGUAUCUUUGUUAUUUCUUCUACCCCAUUUGUGGGUCAUGAGCUGUAUUGCAUUACAUUCUGUGCAAGUAAAGUCAAACUUGUACAUAUUGAAUAUCCAGUAUAUGUAACCAAUAAAGUUUUUCUAUUUAUGGAAUAAUCCAAA